UCCUAAGAAAACAAACGCAGUCCUGAUAGGGAUGCGAGCUGAGAGGGACGACUAUAUUCUUUAGGGCAGAGAGCUGGCAGAAUGACUGUGAUCAUUAUGGGGUUAUGAUGAAGCUGCUUGUCCUGAGGACAUAAUGCCAGUUAAGUAAAAUCUUUGAAGUCUUUUAAAACUUCUCAAAACAAAAUCA